rnacentral:tRNA from 1 species
GCUCAUGUGGCUCAGUGGUAGAGCACUUCCUUGGUAAGGAAGAGGUCGUGGGUCCGAUUCCCAUCAUGAGCUCCA